rnacentral:rRNA from 1 species
UACAGAGGUCUCAAGCGUUGUUCGGAUUCAUUGGGCGUAAAGGGUGCGCCAGGUGGCGAGGCCAAGUCGAUGUGAAAUCCCGGGGCUCAACCCCCGGAACUGCAUUCGAUACUGCCUUGCUAGAGUGCUGGAGAGGAGAUUGAAUUUACGGUGUAGCAGUGAAAUGCGUAGAUAUCGUCAGGAAUGCCGGUGGUGAAGACGGGUGACUGGGCUGGUUCUGACACUGAGGCACGAAGCGUGGGGAGCGAACGG